UGUGUGUUUUGAAGGUUGAACUCUGACCAAAUCCCUCCUUCGUCAAAAAAGAAGAAAAGGGGCCGAAAGCCUAAAGACAAACGGGAUCCGCUGGACAGGGACUCGGCCAAGAGACGCCGGAGUGACGGUGACGCGUAAGUG